rnacentral:piRNA from 1 species
UGCCUGCCCCUUCAGUCCUCUGUGACCUC